UACGGGGGGCUGCAACAGGGAAUUUUCCGCAAUGGGCGAAAGCCUGACGGAGCAACGCCGCGUGAGUGAGGACGGCCUUCGGGUUGUAAAGCUCUGUUCUUUCGAAAGAGUGUCAGAGUGCCAAAUAGGCUCUUUGAUUCGACGGUACGAGAGGAGAAAGCCCCGGCUAACUACGUGCCAGCAGCCGCGGUAAUACGUAGGGGGCAAGCGUUGUCCGGAUUUAUUGGGCGUAAAGGGCGCGCAGGCGGCCGUUUAAGUCAGAUGUGUAAGCCCUCGGCUCAACCGAGGAGUUGCAUCUGAAACUGGACGGCUUGAGUGCAGGAGAGGAGAGUGGAAUUCUCGGUGUAGCGGUGGAAUGCGUAGAGAUCGGGAGGAACACCAGUGGCGAAGGCGACUCUCUGGCCUGUAACUGACGCUGAGGCGCGAAAGCGUGGGGGGCGAACAGGAUUAGAUACCCGAGUAGUCAUCUUCUAGA
rnacentral:rRNA from 1 species